rnacentral:rRNA from 1 species
GACGAACGCUGGCGGCGUGCUUAACACAUGCAAGUCGAACGGAAAGGCCCUGCUUUUGUGGGGUGCCCGAGUGGCGAACGGGUGAGUAACACGUGAGUAACCUGCCCUUGACUUUGGGAUAACUUCAGGAAACUGGGGCUAAUACCGGAUAGGAGCUCCUGCUGCAUGGUGGGGGUUGGAAAGUUUCGGCGGUUGGGGAUGGACUCGCGGCUUAUCAGCUUGUUGGUGGGGUAGUGGCUUACCAAGGCUUUGACGGGUAGCCGGCCUGAGAGGGUGACCGGCCACAUUGGGACUGAGAUACGGCCCAGACUCCUACGGGAGGCAGCAGUGGGGAAUAUUGCACAAUGGGCGGAAGCCUGAUGCAGCAACGCCGCGUGCGGGAUGACGGCCUUCGGGUUGUAAACCGCUUUCGCCUGUGACGAAGCGUGAGUGACGGUUUUGGGUAAAGAAGCACCGGCUAACUACGUG